ensembl:lncRNA novel transcript
ACUCCCAGCUGCCCACAGUCAUCCUUCUCCAUCCCACUGACCUUCCACCCGUGACCAAUCAGGAGAUGUUUCCAGUUUAUUGGUGAAUUUAUUAGGGCUCAGAGAGGAUGACCUAUCCAAGGUCCCACUGCCAACUGAAUGUAGGACAAGUCUCUGAACCCAGUGUGCCCCUGCCAGAAAGUAGCAGGGAUCACAGAAGUCCAGCAGAGGUCUGCCGCCUUGGACCCCGCCUCUUACACAUUGAGUGUGGUUUCUGCAGUGAUGGGCUUCUCUCUUCCCUGGAGACGUAAAACCAGAAGGAUUCAGAAGGAUCUGCCAAAGGAAAUCUGGACCCCAUAAACGAUCAGUACUGCCAUCUGCAACAUGAGGGAGGCCUCAGAAACAGGAACCACACGGCAAGUCACCAAACCUCUAACCCAAUCUUGGAACCUACCAAUCUUGGAACCUGCAGUGGGUCACAGAAGGGAAACCAGCCAGACGUCAGCAUGCUGCUGAGACCUCGGUCAAUGAGUCACACCUGGGCUCUUGUGAAUUACAGAAUCAAUGUUGGAAGCCCAGGAAGCCAACUAAUCAGCCUGUUAACUAUAGCUUCACUGCUGAGCCAUCUGUUCUAGACCACGUUGCUGCCUCUGCCCACCACACACUUCCCUGGAGCUGGACCUGAUCAGCCAGAAGAAGCAUCUGAAAAGGAGCAUCUCAAUUUCAGCACAGUCGACCUUAACAAAAUAACUUCAGGAAGUGCACCAGCUUGGGAACCAGGACUUCGGGGUUCCCCUGCUUCUGUCAUCAGCAGCUGCACAGGCUUAUCUGAGACUUUCUCUCUCUGGGUGUGCACCUAUAAAAUGCCAGGAUUGGAUGCA